GGAGUGAAGAAGCUGUGUGCUGGAUGGAGAGUCCAAACUGUAAACUGGAGACUCUGGGAUUGAGGAGCUGCAGUUUGUCAGAGAUCAGCUGUGCUUCUCUGGCCUCAGCUCUGAAGUCCAACCCCACCCAUCUGACAGAACUGGACCUGAGAUUCAACUACCUGCAGGAUUCAGGAGUGAAGCCUCUGUCUGAUCUUGUGGAGAGUCCAUACUGCAGUCUGCAGACUGUGAGGAAAUAAAGCUGAUUCCAGCUGACAGCAUUCCAAGAUGUACA